rnacentral:tRNA from 1 species
ACCGCAAUGGCUUAGUCGACGGAGCUUCUGCUUGGCAAGCAGAGUGUUGCCUGUUCAAUUCCGGCCCGCGGUG